CCAAUCACCGGCGAUGCAUCGGAGGUAGAUUCUGACUACCGGCGUCGCUUCAGAAGUAAAUUCCGAUCACCGGCAACGCGUCGGAGGUAUUUUCCAAUCACCGACAACGCUUCAGAAGUUAAUUCCGAUCACCGGCAACACGUUGGAGGU
ensembl:ncRNA Y39A3B.6 ncRNA